AUUGAACGCUGGCGGCAGGCCUAACACAUGCAAGUCGAGCGGAUGAAGGGAGCUUGCUCCUGGAUUCAGCGGCGGACGGGUGAGUAAUGCCUAGGAAUCUGCCUGGUAGUGGGGGAUAACGUCCGGAAACGGGCGCUAAUACCGCAUACGUCCUGAGGAGAAAGUGGGGGAUCUUCGGACCUCACGCUAUCAGAUGAGCCUAGGUCGGAUUAGCUAGUUGGUGGGGUAAAGGCCUACCAAGGCGACGAUCCGUAACUGGUCUGAGAGGAUGAUCAGUCACACUGGAACUUAGACACGGUCCAGACUCCUACGGGAGGCAGCAGUGGGGAAUAUUGGACAAAGGGCGAAAGCCUGAUCCAGCCAUGCCGCGUGUGUGAAGAAGGUCUUCGGAUUGUAAAGCACUUUAAGUUGGGAGGAAGGGCAGUAAGUUAAUACCUUGCUGUUUUGACGGUACCAACAGAAUAAGCACCGGCUAACUACGUG
rnacentral:rRNA from 1 species